UCCAGUGAGCUCUGUGUUAGAUAACACUCCCAUUCACUUUAAAUCUGGGUGAAGCAGAACUAAGAGAACAAUGAUUUUAGGAUAUUGUAUUUUAUUUGUGCUAAUAUCAUAUUCUUAUGGACAGUCCCUGACCUCCUCUGCUUCUGUGGUGAAGAGACCUGGAGAGUCAGUCACUCUGUCCUGUACUGUCUCCGGAUUCUCAAUGAGCAGCUACUACAUGCACUGGAUCCGUCAGAAACCAGGAAGAGGACUGGAGUGGAUCGGAUACAUCGACGGUGGCACUAGCACAACAUUCGCUCAGUCUCUGCAGGGCCAGUUCUCCAUCACUAAAGACACCAAUAAAAACAUGCUGUACCUAGAAGUGAAGAGUCUGAAAGCUGAAGACACGGCUGUUUAUUACUGUGCACGAGAGUCACACUGACACAACAGACUCCAGAGCUGUACAAAAACUUACACAAGCACGUCCUCAUGAGCUGUAAAUAUUCCCUCAGCAGGAAACUGAACCCCAGAGACACUUAUUAUAAACAACAUCCAUUUAUUUUUGUGCUCAGUUUUACUUCUCCUUUUGUCUUACUCCAUUAACAGUCAGAAUUCCUCUGUAAAAUUCUCAGCCUUUUCUUUUAUUAUCUCUGGCAGGUGCUUAAAGCUGAAGACAAACAUGAAAAUAAC